GUAGGGAAUAUUGGGCAAUGGCCGAGAGGCUGACCCAGCCAUGCCGCGUGCAGGAAGAAGGCCUUCUGGGUUGUAAACUGCUUUUAUCUAGGAAGAAAACGCCCCUGCGGGGGUAACUGACGGUACUAGAUGAAUAAGCACCGGCUAACUCCGUGCCAGCAGCCGCGGUAAUACGGAGGGUGCAAGCGUUGUCCGGAUUUAUUGGGUUUAAAGGGUGCGUAGGCGGCCCGUUAAGUCAGCGGUGAAAUCCCAGGGCUCAACCCUGGAACUGCCGUUGAUACUGGCGGGCUUGAGUUCGGUUAAGGCGGGCGGAACUGGUGGUGUAGCGGUGAAAUGCAUAGAUACCACCAAGAACCCCGAUUGCGUAGGCAGCUCGCUGAGCCGAAACUGACGCUGAGGCACGAAAGCGUGGGGAGCGAACAGG
rnacentral:rRNA from 1 species